rnacentral:rRNA from 1 species
AUUGAACGCUGGCGGCAGGCCUAACACAUGCAAGUCGAACGGUAACAGGAAACAGCUUGCUGUUUCGUUGACGAGUGGCGGACGGGUGAGUAAUGUCUGGGAAACUGCCUGAUGGAGGGGGAUAACUACUGGAAACGGUAGCUAAUACCGCAUAACGUCGCAAGACCAAAGAGGGGGACCUUCGGGCCUCUUGCCAUCGGAUGUGCCCAGAUGGGAUUAGCUAGUAGGUGGGGUAACGGCUCACCUAGGCGACGAUCCCUAGCUGGUCUGAGAGGAUGACCAGCCACACUGGAACUGAGACACGGUCCAGACUCCUACGGGAGGCAGCAGUGGGGAAUAUUGCACAAUGGGCGCAAGCCUGAUGCAGCCAUGCCGCGUGUAUGAAGAAGGCCUUCGGGUUGUAAAGUACUUUCAGCGGGGAGGAAGGGAGUAAAGUUAAUACCUUUACUCAUUGACGUUACCCGCAGAAGAAGCACCGGCUAACUCCGUG